CGGGAAUCCGAGUGACAGGUGCUGCAUGGCUGUGUCAGCUCGUGUCGUGAGAUGUUGGGUUAAGUCCNGUACGAGCGCAACCUGUCCCUAGUUGCCAGCAAAUAAUGGUGGGAACUNUAAGGAGACUGCCGGUGACAAACCGGAGGAAGGUGGGGAUGACGUCAAGUCAUCAUGGCCCUUAUGGGCAGGGCUACACACGUGCUACAAUGGUCGGUACAGAGGGUUGCUAAGCGGCGACGUGGAGCUAAUCCCAGAAAACCGGUCGUAGUUCGGAGUCUGCAACCUCUACUCCGUGAAGUCGAAUCGCUAGUAAUUUANAGAUCAGAUGCUGCGGUGAUA
rnacentral:rRNA from 1 species